rnacentral:lncRNA from 1 species
AAGCUUUCUAUCCUUCUGUCUGUUCUCAGUCGGAGUCGACUCGUACUGAUCUGGAGUCGACUCGAGCUCGUGCCAGUGAACUUGAUACGCUUGGAGUCGACUCGUGAUACUCGGGAGUCGACUCGAGUCUCAGACAUUGGUUCAUGCAGACUUCUUAACUUAUCCAAAAUACUAUGAACGAAGUCUAGAAACACUUGGACAGGAUUUUCACUGAAACACUCAAUUGAAUUCAUUAGUAAUCACAAGAUAUACUCAAAUGCUUUGAGCUCAUCAAAAUCAAAUGGGGUUUUAAUCAAUCACUCCACAUG